CGCGCCAGUAACGAGUAAUUCGAAAAGUGGAAUCUUGAGUGGUGCAAGGGUUUCAAGGCUGAGCUGAGAAGGCUGGCAGAAUUUUCCCUCUGAUCCUCCGAAAUACAGGUCAGCCCUCUGACUUGCUAACAUCUACGGCCUGAGGGUUUCAACGUUAGAUGCCAAGCCACGCCAGGCCAUAAUAGUAAAGGUCUAAUUAUUUAAUUUAAAUUUUUUGCCCGACUACGGCAGAAUUUGCUAUCUAUGCGUGCAUGUGUAGGUACUGUUUGCAUGAAACUACUGAACUGAUUUUGAUAAAUGAGGUGUCAAUUUAUUUGUCUUUGUAGCCCAGGUCACAAAAGCCCCAUUUUAACCGACUUUCAAAGGAGGAGAUUAGGUACUUAAAGAAACAGUAUCUUGCUCACUUAUUAAAGCAAAUUCAUUUUUUUUAAAUUAGGAUUCCAUUUGAAAAUGUCAUUUUCAUGUAUUUUAUGUAAUGUUCAUUCAUUUAAUACUCGAUAAUUAGAACUAUUCUUUGCAUAAUAUGAGCGCAUUAAGGUAGAAUUGUCGGCGCGCUUUAGUUUUUUUUCGACAACUUCCACAGUUUUUAUCAGAAAUUUAAAAUUUAAGUUGUGAUGUAUAGAUGAAUAACUGUUUUUUUAAAUACUAUACGCAACAUUUUAUUGUCGAUUUUAGUUUAGCUAUAAAAUCGAUAUACAUCUACUUUUUCCAUAAAAAGUGGUAUUUCUUUGUUUCUAGCUCUUAAACCAUACAUUUUUUUUACAAAUAAUGUUUAAGUGAAUCAUAAUAAAUCUAAUAACCUUUCACUACAUGUAACACACAUGUAUGUGUGAC